rnacentral:rRNA from 1 species
CAGCAGUCGCCACGGGAAUACAGAGGGUGCGAGCGUUAAUCGGAUUUACUGGGCGUAAAGCGUGCGUAGGCGGCUUUUUAAGUCGGAUGUGAAAUCCCUGAGCUUAACUUAGGAAUUGCAUUCGAUACUGGUAAGCUAGAGUAUGGGAGAGGAUGGUAGAAUUCCAGGUGUAGCGGUGAAAUGCGUAGAGAUCUGGAGGAAUACCGAUGGCGAAGGCAGCCAUCUGGCCUAAUACUGACGCUGAGGUACGAAAGCAUGGGGAGCAAACAGGAUUAGAUACCCGAGUAGUCCCUGUCUCUUAUAC